UAACUUAUUAGUCUUUAAUUGGGAAUUGUUGUUAAGUGUUUUACUAGAUUUUCCUAUUUAUUUAAAGAGAUAAUUCAGUUUCCAUACAAUAUCCAACAUAAUCAUGUUGAUCAAAAACUGACUCAUAUUUGACAAAGGAAGGUGCAGCAAAUACCAAUACAUGCACACUAAAAGGUGAAUAAUAGAUUCAUCAGAGACUUAAAUCUCCUUUGAAACUACUGUUUUUACAUUUUUGUGUUUAUAUCCCUCACACAUUCCGAAAGAAAAGUAAUUCAUAUGGGAAGAUAAUUAACAUCGAGGUUAUGCAUAAUGCAUGUAAUGGAUAAUAACGUUGAAAUCCACAACAUUCUCUCUAUUAAAAGGUUGGAAAUCACAUAAGGAAUAAAAUUCACUGAUAGCGGGUGAAGACAAGAUGAAUAAACAAUGUGCUAAUGGUAGACAUGGCAGAAAUAAGUGUGCACAACUAGUUACUUGCAUUAUAGAAUCUGUUAGCUAACACAAGACAAGUCAGAAAAUAAGAAAAAAGGAAAAUGAAGUUGAAAUUAGAACUAAUUAGAGGAAAAAGAUCACACAUGGUAAAAACAAACAUGGCAACUUGAAGAAUGAUUUUGAUCAGCUCAAUGAUAGCAGGACAUGGCCAUGCAGUGUGGAUUCUAUUAUUCAUCUUUCUAGUCCACUCUUGUUUAUUCAAAAUUGUGUCAUGCAAAAUGAAAUUCCUUUACUAAAUUUAUCAUUCAAUAAUUUUAACUAAGUGCCGACUAGAAAUUUUGUGAAUGAUAAAUCGUAGCAACUAUUAUAGACAAAACAAUUGUGCAACUGAACUUAAUGUACGAGAAUUCUUAUCAAAUUAUACAUGCCUUAUUGCAAAAGCUGAAAUAAUAAAAAGUGCAGAGAUGAUGAUAGAUGAUAUGUUAUAAUUGUUUGUUGGUAUAACAAUAGACAUGAUAGCAUUUAUAUUCUUUUACCAGCUGGCUGCAUUUAUUUAAUUGUUAAUGUAGAUUGAAUUAAAUUCCAUAAUUAAUCUCUAUUUUGAUGUUAAGAUAGCAAUACAUAUUAUUUGAUUUUGAAAAUCUAAAUUACAGAAACAUUUUGUUUGGGAUGAGUCAAUCUCAUCAUUUAUUAAGAUGGUCUGGUCACGUAAGGCUGUAGAACGUUAUCGAGCUUUGAUCCGUACUUUGAGAAAAAGGCAAGGAAAAGACCAUGUAUGUGAGUGAUUCUACAUGGCAAAUAUGGGGGGAGUCAUGGAAUACACCAGAAUUUAAAGCUCGGAGCGACCAAUUUGCUGCAAAUAGGCGCAAUGAGAUGAGAGGACAUGGAUGUGUUGUAUCUCGGCACAUAGGAGGCUCAAUUUCUCACACCUUCCACGCAGAGCGAUUGAGAUUCAAGCUUGGUUGUGACCCUCUUCCUUAUGAGCUUUUUAAAGUAACACAUACGAAGAAGGGUACUUCAGAGCUCAUUGAUGCAUGAGCUCAGGCCAUUAAGAUCAUUAUUUGGAGCUUAUGGAGCAAGCAUCCCAAACACAAGAAGGGCGCGGUGAGCCUCUUGUUGUGGAUGAAGCAACUAUCUAUUAUAAAGCUGUGGGGGAGAUAAAAAAACAUAAGGUAUACAGAGUUGGAUCACAGGGAUCUAUUUUUUAUCCCUAGUCAUCUCAGAGCUUGUCUACCGGUACAUCAUCGAAGCCAGCAAAUACUGAGAUCAAAGAGUUGAAGUAGACAGUUAUGCAAUUGUAAAAUAACAACAAAGAGCUUCAACAGAGUUUGCUCAAGAUGGAGGAAAGGGACCAAUAUCGAGAGGAGCUGUUGCGCUAGAUGAAAGACAUGAUGGAGCAUUUCGAGACGAGGAUGCUUCAGCGCACACAAUUUAGCAAUCUAGACUCAUAGCCAUUAACUGAUGAUGAUCAUCAUCAUUUAGAUGACAUUUAGUACCAUAUUGUACUACGGUUUUACUUAUAGUGUGUUGUACUGAACAAAUGUGUGUUUUAUAGUAUUUUGUGCUGAAAUAAUUACAUGUAAUAUAUUUUGGUGUUAUUAUAUAUAUAUAUGUA